rnacentral:rRNA from 1 species
GAUGAACGCUAGCUACAGGCUUAACACAUGCAAGUCGAGGGGUAACGAGAGGAAAGCUUGCUUUCCUUGUCGACGACCGGCGCACGGGUGAGCAACGCGUAUCCAACCUGCCCCCAACUAGGGAAUAACCUUGCGAAAGUAAGACUAAUACCCUAUAAUUUCCUCAGAUGACAUCUGACGAGGAAUAAAGAUUUAUCGGUUGUGGAUGGGGAUGCGUCUGAUUAGCUUGUUGGCGGGGUAACGGCCCACCAAGGCAACGAUCAGUAGGGGUUCUGAGAGGAAGGUCCCCCACAUUGGAACUGAGACACGGUCCAAACUCCUACGGGAGGCAGCAGUGAGGAAUAUUGGUCAAUGGGCGAAAGCCUGAACCAGCCAAGUAGCGUGCAGGAUGACGGCCCUAUGGGUUGUAAACUGCUUUUAUACAGGAAUAAAGUUAGCCACGUGUGGUUAUUUGUAGGUACUGUAUGAAUAAGGACCGGCUAAUUCCGUGCCAGCAGCCGCCGCCG